UCCUACGGGGCGCAGCAGUGGGGAAUAUUGCACAAUGGGGGAAACCCUGAUGCAGCGACGCCGCGUGAGUGAAGAAGUAUCUCGGUACGUAAAGCUCUAUCAGCAGGGAAGAAAAUGACGGUACCUGACUAAGAAGCCCCGGCUAACUACGUGCCAGCAGCCGCGGUAAUACGUAGGGGGCAAGCGUUAUCCGGAUUUACUGGGUGUAAAGGGAGCGUAGGCGGCCUGGCAAGCCUGAUGUGAAAUACCGGGGCCCAACCCCGGGGCUGCAUUGGGAACUGCCAGGCUGGAGUGCCGGAGAGGCA
rnacentral:rRNA from 1 species